AGGACGAACGCUGGCGGCGUGCUUAACACAUGCAAGUCGAGCGGUGAUCCUCCUUCGGGAGGUGAGCAGCGGCGAACGGGUGAGUAACACGUGGGCAACCUGCCCCUCACACUGGGAUAAACCUCGGGAAACCGGGAUUAAUACCAGAUACGACCACUUUAGACAUCUGCUGUGGUGGAAAGAAUUUCGGCUAGGGAUGAGCUCGCGGCCUAUCAGCUUGUUGGUGAGGUAACGGCUCACCAAGGCGACGACGGGUA
rnacentral:rRNA from 1 species